AACGAACGCUGGCGGCAUGCCUAACACAUGCAAGUCGAACGGGAAGUGCCUUUCGGGCACUGAGAGUGGCGGACGGGUGAGUAGCGCGUGGGGAUCUGCCUUUGAGAGGGGAUAACUGCGGGAAACUGCAGCUAAUACCGCAUAACGCCUGAGGGCGAAAGGAGCAAUCCGCUUGAAGAGGAGCCCGCGUCGGAUUAGGUAGUUGGUGGGGUAACGGCCUACCAAGCCAACGAUCCGUAGCUGGUCUGAGAGGAUGAUCAGCCACACUGGGACUGAGACACGGCCCAGACUCCUACGGGAGGCAGCAGUGGGGAAUAUUGGACAAUGGGGGGAAACCCUGAUCCAGCAAUGCCGCGUGAGUGAAGAAGGCCUUCGGUUGGUAAAACUACUUUUGGUCAGGGAAGGA
rnacentral:rRNA from 1 species